AGAGGCAUGCAGGGGUGUUUCCAAGCAGACGACCACAGCUGAAGUGGAUUGUGAGCUUGGAGAGGUCCUGAAACUGGCCACUUUUCGAAAGGGAGGUUCAAAAUUUGAGGAGAAGAGGAGGAAUUAAGAGGGAGGACAAAAAAGGAAAAAGAAACAAGCAAAAGAGCAGAGUGAGAUGAGAGGAUUUGGGUUUCCCUGCUUGGGCUGCUGCCCCCGCGACCCGACCUCGGAUAAGCGGAAGAAGAUGGAUGGAUGGAUUUACUUCCAGGAAGAGAACCAAGAAGGGGCAGGAUACACUGACGCGCACGACCAAGACCACUGCAUUCCAUUCCAUUUAUAAAUGAGAAAUGAUAAAUGGGUUAUAUGU